UUAAGUUCAGCGGGUAGUCCUACCUGAUUUGAGGUCAAAAGUUCAAUAUUGUUGUCCUUUAAUAGGACAGUUAGAAGCAGAACAAUACAGAGAGCGUUCACAGUCUAUGGCGUAGAUAAUUAUCACACCGGUGACGGAUCGCAAACGGUUCUACUAAUACAUUUCAGGAGAGCUGAUCUCGAAUGAGACCAGCAAACACU
rnacentral:misc_RNA from 1 species